rnacentral:rRNA from 1 species
CUACGGGCCGCUGCAGUGAGGAAUAUUGCACAAUGGGGGGAACCCUGAUGCAGCAACGCCGCGUGGAGGGUGACGCAUUUCGGUGUGUAAACUCCUUUUAUAUGUCAAGAAAAUGACGGUAGCAUAUGAAUAAGCACCGGCUAGACUCCGUGCCAGCAGCCGCGGUAAUACGGAGGGUGCAAGCGUUACUCGGAAUCACUGGGCGUAAAGGACGCGUAGGCGGGUUGGAAAGUCAGGUGUGAAAUCCUACAGCUUAACUGUAGAACUGCACUUGAAACUUCUAAUCUAGAGUAUGGGAGGGGGAGAUGGAAUUAGUGGUGUAGGGGUAAAAUCCGUAGAUAUCACUAGGAAUACCUAAAGCGAAGGCGAUCUCCUGGAACAUUACUGACGCUAAGGCGUGAAAGCGUGGGGAGCAAACAGGAUUAGAUACCCGCGUAGUC